UUCCUGUUGUGGUGGAAUAAUGACACGAAGAAAGGAGCCAGGCUGAACACUGUGAAGAAAAGUUAAAGUGCCUGCAUUUCAAGCGCUUUGAAUUUCAGAAUGAAUGCAUUAAGAAUUUCUCCAAGAAUGAACUGCACCAAAACCUGGACCAAAAUCUGCAGAGCACUGAGCCCUCUCCUCACCUUUUCACGUGGCUCAGCAUUCAGCAUCUCAGGUCUUUUCUUAUAGCAUUGAUGGACGGUCAGAGAGACAAAGCUCCCCAUGAAGACAUCUCUGCUAAGCUUUCCAGGCAGGCAGCAGGUCAGCUAAAACUGGGAUCCAUAUCAGUGUAGCUAAUUUGGUGGUUUUGUAAUUUAUACUGAAACGAGGCCAUCUUCCACCACCAUUUUCCUUCUCUCCCUCUUGUAUAAACUGUCUUAUAAAGUCAGUCACUGCACCAAGCCCAUCAGAGUUUAAGAAACAUUUGGGACUGUGCUCUUUCUUAGUUAUAUGGUCUGAAUUUUUGGGUAGACCUGUGUGGUGCCAGGAGUUGGACUUGAUGAUCCUUAUGGGUCCCUUCCAACUCCGGAUAUUUUAUGAUUCUAUGAUUCUAUUAUUCUAACCCCUUUACUGUGAAGGAAGUAAAAUGUAAUACUUACUGGUUUUCGUUAGUAAUGAAUAUCCAUGUGGUUAGCUGUAUUAUGGUAGCGCCCAGACAACAGUUUGCACUCCCCCCCUACUCACAGUAUGUACUCAGGCUGUGUACACACUUGUAACACGCUGUCCUGGCCUCAAAUUGCUUCCAGGUUAGGUCAUCUUCCAGCCCAUUUCCCCUGAUUUUUCUCCUUCAUGUUUUAUUGGCCUAGUAGAAAUUAGCCACAAAUCCAGCCUGGUUUUAGUGUCUUUUGCACUCAUUUGUUCCAACUGUUGUACCCCCUGAAAUCUUCCUCUCUCAGAUAUACAAUUUAUUCCCACUCAUGACAGGCAUGCUCAUGAAUUAUUUAUACUGCUUUUGUAACUUCUACUCUGCAAAUAAUGAAAGAAUCAAAUGUUUCUAGUGUAGGAGUCAUAAUAAGUAAGAAAUCCAGUCAAGCUGGUGGGCAAGAAGGUGGGAAAAUGGCCCAAGUUAAAAACACAUUGCUUUUGAACAACUGAGGAAACAUCACAAGGGCCAUUCAAAGCAAUCUUCUACCCUCAGAAAUGCUGCUGAGCAGCUAAAAUUAGGAGCGGAUACCCUGCAAUGACCAAAGAGGCUUUUAUUUAACCAGUUUGCAUCCUGCAUGCAGGACAAUUUUUUUGGCAGGCUGAGGGUCACAUACCUGUACAGCUGCCCCAUCUAUUAAAUCUGACAAG
rnacentral:lncRNA from 1 species